CUCGGAGAGACUUCACGCUACGCAUCAGCCUCGCUCCGGCCCGCAGCGUCUGAUUGAAUCAAGCCAAUCAGCGGCGGGGAGGGGGACUUGUGAUUUUCGCGCACCAAUCCUGAAACUCUCUCAUGUCCAGCCAGCUCUACCCUCCUCUGUCAAACCAGGCUCUCUCAAGUCCAGGAAAGCAAGCCCAAUGCACAGAAUCACCAGAAAACCAGCACGCCCAUUCCUCUGCCCUGCUCCCUGUCAGAUAAUUCACUGCUGUCAUAAGUCCAAGCUACACUUCUGUUUGCAGUCCAGUCCAGUCCAGUCCAGCUCAGCCCUCCACUCUCAUGUGACACACAGUCCAGACCAGCUCAGUCCCCUCCCAUUGCUGUCAGCAUUAUCCUAGCAGAGAACCAACAGCUCUUACCAUUGCACAGAAGCACCAGAAGACCAGCAG